AAUAAAUAAAUAAAUAAAUAAAUAAAUAAAGUAAGAGUGAAAGAUAAAAAAAGAGAAAGAAUGAAAGAAAGGUAGAAAAAAAGGUCAUAUGAACUAAUGAAUAAUAGUUGGAAAGGUAAGAAAAUAAAUCAGUAAUUACAUAUGUAAACAAAUAUAUUCAAAAACACAUACCUGCGUGAAUAUAUGAAAAAUUGAAGAAGGCUGUCAGCACAUGAUGGGUCGGGAGCUGAGUGUUUAAAAGCUGUGGCAUCGGGUAGGGUGGCCUCAGGGCUCUGAAAGCUUUUGAGAGAGAAAUAGCCCACUUGGUAGGGCCCUUCCUGAUAUUUCAAGAAAGUGGAGGAAGGCAGUCCAACCAGUGUGUUGCCCAAGGCCAAAGCUGCCCCCGCGGGCUGCUCAGCCAGAGAGAGGACGAACACCUGAGAGUUGCUGUUAGCGCAGAUGACCACAAGAUGGCGCCAGGGUACUUUCCAGACCCUUGGGCAACUCCAAGGCUGCAUGUCGGGGUGCAGUGUUGGGGUUGAUGAUGUGUUUGUGGGAAACCCCAGCCAGCACCCAGAGAUCUGGGGUUGUUUUCCAGGCAUCUGGGGCUCUCUGCUCUAAGAUGCCUCAUGUCAGGCAGAGCACACAGCUGUCCUUUCAGCAUUUAAUGUGCAUUUGCUGUCUGGCCAGGUGGUAGUGGGUUUAUAAUGCUUGAGGCAUCCACUGGGUUUCAGAGUGCCUUGUGUUCCUCCAGGGCAGGAGCCAGGACCCACACAGCCUGUUUUGAAUCAUGAACUGUCCAUUUUCAAGCCCCUGACUGCCAAGGGUUUAGCUCUCUGGAUAGAGGCUUGUGCUGAUGAAUGGAUGGUGGACUUUGGUGGCAUUGUGGUGGGUGGUUAUGCUAAUCCCUGUCCUUUUUCUGCUCAUGAGACCCAGUGAAACAUCUUUCUUGUCUUGCCUCACGAGUUUCCCUUUUCAGUGACUGCGCCAGGGAAGGAGGCCUGACCGAACCCAGGUCUGAUGAAUUAAGCAGGGUUGAUUAAUACCAAGAAAGCUCUCAGGGAGUUCCCUCGUGGCUGGCUUCCUUAAGAGUCUGUCCCUGUCACAGCUGUGGCUAUGGUGAGAGCUGCGUGGGGAGAUCAAACCCUGACCGGGCAACUCCCCGAUGUUGCAGGUGGCACCCAAAUAAAUGAAUCAAGAAAAGUAAAUAUUUUGAAGAAGGUGAUAAAUUGAUGAAGUCAGUACAAACAUAUAGAUAUACCUACAUAGUAGCUAAGUGAAUUGACAGAGAAAACCAUGAAAAAGGCUGUCCCAUGAUGCUUGUGGUGGCAGAGGGUUUUGUGUACAAGCCUGGGGUGGUAACAUCCCUGGGGUGGAUUCAGUUCCUGGCCAGACAAUAUCUGCAUGCCACAAGUGGGUCCAGAAAAAUAAAUCAGAGAAUAAAUCAAUACAGAUGUAAGAAAUUAAUAAACUCAUACACCAGAGAUAAUCACUUCAGGUGAUUAUUAUGUGAAGGAAGAAAAAAGGCUUCCACAGCAUAGUGGGUGGGUUUAGGGUUACAGCAGAGGGACUCACACAAUAGCCUUGGGUAAGUUGGGCUGAGUGCCCCGAGAGAUUUUGAGAGAGAAAUCCCCCACUUCCUAGGGCACUUCAUGGCGCUCAGAGGGAGAGGAAGUCUCAACGGAAAGCCGCAGUCUUGCCCAACUCCAGUGCAGCCCCCAGGAGAGCUGAGCAGACAGGAGGAAGGCAGGCACGAGAGCUGCUGUUAGGGCCGAUGUCCACAAGACGGCGCCAGAGUACCUUCCUGCGGACGCAUGUGCAGCUCCAAGGCAGCGGGGUCCAGGCUCAGAGAUGCGGAUGAUGAUGCAUUUGUCGGAAGCCUCAGCAGCACCCAGAAAUUCGGGAUUGUUUUCCAUCUGGCCCAAGAUGCCUCAGAGGUCUCCUGAAUAAACCUGGUAUGUGUGAGGGGCUACAUGGGGUCAUUGUUACAAUGGCUCUUUCUGCUGACCCGCGGGACCGAGCACCUGCUCAAGCAACAUCCUGUUUUCACCACGGGUGCAGCCUUUGCCAAGACUGCGAGACCCCCCUCCCAUGGGACACCACACACCUCUGGCUUUCCCAAGACGACGAGACCCCCCCUCCCGUGGGACACCACACACCUCCGGCUUUCUCAAGAUUACGAGACCACCAGAGUCCAGCUGCAGUAUGAAGACCUGAUGAAAAGCCAGAUCUGGUGAAUCAAGUCUGAUAGAUUGAUAUAAAGAAAACUCUUCCAGAGAUCCCUCCUGGGCCCCUGGGUAAAGGAUCUGUCUUUGUCCCUGCGGUGUGUUUAGAAUCUUCUGAGGCUUGAAAUCCGUCAAUGGGCUGACAAGUCACAUAUGUUUCAGGUAGGUUUAAUAAAGUAAGAAAAAGAGGAAGAAAAGCAGAAAGAAGGAAUGAAAAAGAAAGAAUAAUGAAGGAAAAGAAGAAAGACAUGUAUGAAUGAAUCAAAGUAGGAAAUAUAAGAAAAUAAAUCAACAUUUACAUAUAUACACACCUACAUUCAUAAAUACAUAAGUGCAUGAACACAUGAAAAGUUGAUGAAGGCUGUCAUGACGUGAUGGGUGGGGACCUGAGUCUUUGAACUGCCUGGGGAGGUAGCUUGGCCUCAGUGCUCUGAAAGGUUUUGAGAGAAAAGCCCACUUUGUAGGGCACUACCACGUAUAGAAAAAAGGCAGAGGAAGGAAAUCCAACCAGCAUAUUGCCCAAGGCCUAUGAAACCCCGGGGUCAGCUGAGCCUGGGAGUUGCUAUUAGAGCAGAGUCCACAAGACGGCGCCAGAGUAUAUUCUGGACCCUCGUGCAGCUCCAUUGCUCCAUGGCCAAGCUCAGAGUUGGGGUCGAUGAUGUGAUUGGUGGAAACCCCAGCAAGAACCCAGUGGUUUGGGGUAUUUUAUGGGCACCUGGGUCUCUCUGCUCAAUGAUGCCUCAUGUCAAGCAGGGGACACAGGUGUCCUUCAGCAUUUGAUGUGGAUUUGCAGCCUGGUUGGGAGUCACAGUGGUACAAAAUCUUGACAGAGUCAAUGGGAUCCGAUUGCUUGUUUUUUCUCCAGAGGCUGGAGGGAAUGGAGGCCUGACAGAAAUCAGGUCCGAUGAAGCAGGGUUCUUUGAUACCAAGAAAGCUCUCAGGGAGAUCCCUCAUGGCUGCCUUUCUUAGGAGUCUGUCUUGUCACUGCUGUGGCUGUGGUCAGAUCUGCAUUGGGAGGUCCAACCCUGGCCAGACAACAUCCCAGUGUCAAAGGCGGCACCCAAAUAAAUUUAUAAAUAAAACAGAUAUUGCAAAGAAUGAGCUCAAUUGAGAAAGAUGUCAAUA